rnacentral:tRNA from 1 species
CAUUAUGUAUCUAAAAUAAGAGAUGGUCUUUUAAACCAUUUAUAGUAUAUAAAUACUUUUAAUGA